UAUACAAUAUAUAUUAUAUACACCAAAUAAUAUAAUAAAAUUAAUAUAAAUGUCAGAUUUAAAAAAAAUAACAAUUAAUGUCUAUGCACAAAAAUCAAAUAUUUUUCUUAUCUUAAAUAAAUAUAUCUUAAAAUAAGAAAUUUAAAUAAAAAACUUUUUUAAAUUAAUAUCUCUAUAAAUUAAUAAAUUUUUAAAGUACCAACUUUAAUAAUUUAUGGAGGUUAUACUGUAUAUACUUUUUGGAUUAUACAAUAGGAUUUGCAGAUGACCAGAUAUUCUUGCGAAAGUCAGAAUCGUAAAAUAAUUCCUGAUUUUUUUGUUUUGUCACAAAGGGUAAAUAAUAAGUUUUCACCUUUUUAAAUUAGUUUUGCAUUUGAUUAAAUAUGAGGUAUACAAUUGUUUCCGGACAUUGUGUGCCAGACUGUCCAUCCUUAUAUUCUGCGUCUCGGGUACAUGCAUGAACUCGUUUCAAUAUUUUUGUUAACAUACGUAUCAGUGGUCCAUUCGAACCAGAUUCAUUCGGAUGUUUUGGUAAACAUUCUAAGUAAUGUGGGAAACAAUGUGAAUUGAAUGUGUUAAUAUUCGUUGUAUUUCAGCUUAAGAUCCGAGUAAGUUUUGGCAAUAAUUGUAAAUUUUAUAUAAAUUUAUAUUUAUAUUCAUUCAGCAUAUACAUUUUUUCCUAACAUCUAUUUAUAUUUUUGUGGUUGUGUGCGAUAAGAAGAAAAUAGAUAGAUGUGAAGAAGGCAAAAGACUGUGUGAAUUCAUUCAUGUUCAGAUAUGUUCGAUCAAAAAGAUUGAAGACACUAUUAAUCACUCAUAUUUUGCAGUAUUUGAUGAUUUAAUAAAUAAAUAAAUAUAUAUAUAUAUAUAUUAUUCUGUUAUAUCAAUUUUAUAAUCAAAAUUCAAAUAAACAUUUGUUUAUUCUACAAUUUAGUCUAGUGUUCAAGAAAUCAUUAGGCGUUAAGCGAAUAGUGAUUCAACGCCUAACACCUAUCCGAUGAGUAAAUUAUUAGUUAGUCGGCCUACACGAUUACGGUUUAACAAUUAUAACAAUACACUAUAUAUAUAUAUAUAUAUAUAUAUAUAUAUAUAUAUAUAUAUAAUUGAUAAACCGUAAACGUGUAGACUCACUAACUAAUAAUAGAUUAAGUAUCAUGAUUUAUGAAUACUAAUGUUCAUAUUACUUGUUUUUAUCAAAUUGUAUAUUAAAAUAAAGUAAUAAUUACUACAAUUUAUAAACACUAAGUUAUUUAUUAUUUAUUAUUACCCUAUUAUAAUUACCUAGGCGUUUUAUAAAAAAACUCUAUGGUUCUAGUCUAGAGAGUCUAACGCCUAAAACAAUUUUUAGACCACUUAUAUUUUCUAGAUAGUUGUAUUCUCAUUUCCAUAUAGUAAUUGUAUAAUUCCGCACAUCUGUUGUUUAACAUAUAGAAAUUUAUUAUGUGUUUCAUUCAAUUCAAGUCAUGCUUAAUGGUUAUAUUGUUCUCCUGCUAUAGCUCAAAUGCCUCUUAAAAUUUAGUCAUCUUAUUUUUCAAUGUAUGUUUCUCAGUAAAAAGAUAUCUUCUUAAAGUAAUCCGUGAUCAUGGUUUUACUGCAGAAUACACACAUUCGCUCACAAUAAUCUUGUUCCCACAUGAUCACGAUUUGAGGCAAAAUGUCCAUUUCAUGAUUCUCAUCAUCAUCGACAUAUUUGGCAUUGGAAUUUUAUCAAACUUAUCUUCAUCAUCUUUAUCGUAACUAGGUUGUAGAAUAAUGUGUACAUGAUAAGGUUUCAGACACACACAUAUAAGACAAAUCUUUUUUUUUAAGUCUGACAGUUUUUGAUGCAUCAUCAUCGAUCGGGUUUUAGGGGGAUUUCACCGUUGAUCGUGAAUCGUGAUUAGUUCUUCUUUAUAUGCCGUUUUGCAUUUUCAUCGUUUUAAGAUUUUGGUUUAAAUGUCCGAAUUAUUCAAAUUUUGGUUUUUGGAGAGCCGAAACCAAAUCCGAUCCGAAUAGAAGUAUUCCGAAUACCCGAAUGUAUCUGAAAUAGAUUUAUCUGCUUAUCUAUAUUAAUUAUUUUUAGAUUUAAUAUAUAUAAAAACAUAUAGAAUAUAUAUGAUACUUUUAAGCUGGUUUAAAUACUUGAAAAUAUAUACAAAUAACCAAUAGUAAAUAUAUAAAAUAGUAAAAGUAUACUUAAAACACCAAAAAUACUUAAAAUAAUUAUUGAUUAUCUAUCCAAAUAUUUGAACUAAAAUAAUUAUAUGUUGAGUUUAGGUAUUAUGACAUAUGUUAAUCAAAUUUAUAUUUAAUAUAUUAUUUUGUUUAUAUUUUUUUGAGAAAUUUAAAAUAUAUAAAUAUAUAAUGAAUUUUAAAAUUUUAAAAGUAAUUUAAAUGGGUUAUCCGAACUCGAACCGAACCCGCAAAAAUCCGAAGCGAACCCGAACUAAAAUUUAGAAAUAUUAGAAUGACGCUGAAAUCUUUGACCCCGGAAACCCGAAACCCAAACAUACCUAAACCGAACCCGAAUAGGUACCAGAUAGAUAGUUUCUCAUAAUAUAAUGGACUUCCAAGUUUUCUUAAAAAUGUAAGCUCAUUACUUUGAUUUCUCUUAAUAUAUUGUUAUUCAUGUUUCCAAACAAACUUAUUUUUUUAAUUAUAAUCUAUGUUUCCAAACAAACCUUUUUUUUUUAAACUGCAAUCCAUGUUUCCAAACAAUAUUUAAAAAAAAAACUGUAAUUUAUGUUUCCAAACAAACUUUUUAAAAAAAUUGCUAUACAUGUUUCCAAACAAAUCUAUUUUGUACUUGAGUUUUAAUAAGAUAGAUAUAUAUUUUAACAAUCUAUAAUAUUUUCUUCUAAAAUAAGAAGAUUUUGUCGAAUAUAUUAUUACUUCAAAUAUUGAUUUUUUUCCUUUUACUCUAGAUUUUCACCCCAAAAGUUCUUAUUCUUUGUAAGUUUCCUAAUUAAUGUUCAUCACUAAAUUGAGUAGUCAAAGAAAAAAAAAUUGCAUUCUAUAAAUUCACAAAUUAUAUUUUAUUGUUUAUAUCCAGAAAUACCCCCUUACCAAAACUUUUAAAAAUCUUUCCAGGAUAACAUUUGAACGUGGCUGUCUUUGAUAGGACAACCGUUAGAACAUUCUUAUUUCAAUAUUAACCUAGUACGUAACCAAACUCGGCGUACAAAUAAGACACGCUUUCCCUUCUCUCUCGACACAACUUUUCUGUUACCUUUGAUCGACGAGAAAGGUAGUGAACGAAGAAGAAGAUGAGUCAACCUCCAAUUGGUGUUCCUCCUCCUCAAGGUUACCCUCCGGCUCCAGGAUAUCCUCAGCAAGGUUAUCCUCCGCCGCAGGGAUAUCCUCAGCAAGGAUAUCCUCCUCCUCAGCAACAACAAGGAAAGUCGGGUCCUGGUAUGAUUGAAGGAUGUCUAGCUGCUAUGUGCUGUUGCUGUGUCUUGGAGGCUUGCUUCUGAGUUGGAAUCUUGAAGCUGCGAAGUUAGAUUGGAUCUGGAUUGUUUGUUGGUUUAUUUUAAUUGAUCACAUCUUAUUAUUAUAUAUUUCUCUUUCGUUAUAUAUUAUAUGAUAUAUAAAUAUGUUUGUUCAUCUGGAUCAUGAAUUAGUGUUGAAGACUUGAUAUCUUAUGUUUUAUUACUUUAUCUUGUUCGCUAUUGGGAAUGUAAACUUCUGGAUCCAACAUGACGUUGCAAACUGCAAAGUAUUGGCAAACCGUAUUUGCUUUUUCCUAGCUUUCCUUUCAAAUAUUUCGCAAUUAUUUGACUUUUCAUUCAUGGAUAGUCCUUUUAGUUUUAGACUUUGAUUAAACGCCGGGAAUUAUCUUAUUUUCGUUUUAAUCAUGCACCAGAUAAACUUAAUGUUAAGCAAAAAAUUGUGUAUUGGUUUUUAUUUUAUGUUUAAACACUCUAAAGAAAUCGUCAUCAAAAUAUUAAUUCUGAAAGUAUAUUAAAUUUAUAUGCAUCAGUAAAACGUCACGUUAGCCCAAUUUUUUAUUUGUCUUUUUUCGACAACGAAUAGCUAUUCAAUUAUUCAAACUUGAGGUGGUCCGGAUAAAUAGACCGGAAUAGAACAACCAAUAAAACAAACCUCUCUAUAGAAAGACCUCGCUGUCCUAGCUAAAGAGUAAAAAAUCUGAUUUUUUUUAUUUGUCAUAAAAGGAAAAUAAUAAUUUUUCACAUCUUUAAGUUAGUUUUGCAUUUGAUAAAAUAUGAGGUAUACUUUUGCAUUUCAAAUCAGUAAUUAGGUUAUUUGGCAAAUUUCCCAUUAAAAACUAACCAAAUUGUAUUUAAAUUAUUUUAAAUAAAAUUUUAUAUUUAUAUUUUGUACCUACAAGGUAUAAACUUACUUAGAAAUUACAAAAUAUUUAAUUACUUUAUUUGUUGAUAUAUGUUCAUGAGGUUUAAAAUUUUAGCAGAUUAGUAUAUUUAUAAAACUUCCUACUGAUCAUCUCUUUAUUUAAAAAAAAAAACAAUUUUGACAAAACCACAUGUAUACAUUUUUAAGAAAAUAUUAUUAUAUAUAAGGAACCAAACUAAUGCAACAGAUGAUAUUAAUUUGAUUUGGUUUAAUUAAAAUAAAAAUAAUUAUACUUCAGUUAAAAAAAUAUAUGUAACUCAAUAUACCCACAAAAUGAAUAACUAUACUAAUCUAAAUUUUUAUUGAGAAUGUUUCGAUUUUUUUUUGUUGUCAAAAACAAGCAGACUCGACUAAGAUUUUGCAAACCAAACUGAUAACUCUGAACGCAUGUGGACGACGAAAAAUGAUUGUUUUUGGACAUUGCGUGCCAGACUGUUCGUCCUUGUAUUCUGCGUCUGGGGUACAUGCAUGAACUCGUUUCAAUAUUUGUUUUAACAUAUGUAUCAGUGGUCCAUUCGUACCAGAUUCAUUUGAAUGUUUUGGUAAACGUACUAAGGAAUGUGGGAAACAAUGCGAAUCAAAUGUGUUAAUAUUCAUUGUAUUUCUGCUUAAGAUCCGAGUAAGUUUUGGCAAUAAUCGUAAAUUUUAUAUAAAUUUAUAUUUAUAUUCAUUCAGCAUAUACAAUUUUUUCCUAACAUAUAUUUAUAUCUUUGUGGUUUUGUUGUUGUGGGUAAUGAGCAGAAAAAUAGAUCGAUGUGAAGAAGGCAAUAAACAGUGUGAAUUCAUGUUCAGAUAUGUGCGAUCAAAAAGAUUGAAGGCAAUAUUAAUCACUUAUAGUUUUCAGUAUUCAAUGAUUUAAUAAAUAUAUGUAUUAUUAUGCUAUAUAAAUUUUAUAAUCAAUUCAAAUAAACAUUUGUUAAGUGUAAAAUUUAGUCUAGUGUUCAAGAAAUCAUUAGGCCCUAAGAAAACGGUGAUUCAACGCCUAACGCCUAUCCGACGCGUAAGUUAUUAGUUAGUCGGCCUAUACGAUUAUGGUUUACCAAUUAUAACAAUAUACUAUAUAUAUAUAUAAUUGGUAAACCGUAAACGUGUAAACUGACUAACUAAUAAUAUAAGUUAAGUAUCAUGAUGUAAGAAUACUAAUGUUCACAUUGCUUGUUUUCAUAAAAUUUUAUAUUAAAAUAAAGUAAUUACUAUAAUUUAUAAACGGGGUUUUUGCAAAUAUGACUCAAAACUUGAAGUCAAACACAAAACUAACCCAUGUUUUUUUAUAGAAUUUUGACUUGCCUCUUUCAUCCCCAAAGUUCAGAUUAUUCACGAAAAUACCAUCACUUUUUUUUUCUUUUGAAAUUGCAUAUUUUACUCUAUCACCCUCAUUUUCCUCAAGUAUUCACAAUAUUGUCAUUUCUAUCAAUACACCAACCACCAUGAACAACCAAUUUGAAGCUCUUAAUGCACCUAAAAAUCGAUUUACACUCUUUCUUUCUUAAUUCUUAUGAACUAAAAACAACAUCUCUUUCACUUUCUCUCCAUAUUCAUCCAAAAAAACCCAAGAUUUUGAUUCUAAAAUUUUUAUGGUUCAUAGAGCCAUUGAAACUUACGAUUCUUGGUGGGUCACUUAUGUUUGAGAUUUUGGGUGCUUGGAAAAGACUUAUGUGUGUUAAACAAGUUAUCUCACUGGUUGAAAAGACUUUUAUUGUAACUAGGGUGUUGAAUAAUGUGUACAUGAUAAGUUUUCAUACACACAUAUAAGAUAUAUUUUUUUAUAAAAGUCUGGCAGCUUUUUAAUGCAUCAUCAUCAAUCGGGUUUUAGAGGGAUUUCACCGUUGAUCGUGAAUCGUGAUUGAGUUCUUCUUUAUACGCCGUUUUGCAUUUUCAUCAUUUUCGUUGUGGGGUUUGAAUAUGCUUGAAAUUUUUUACUUUAUUUUAAAUUUUCCUCGUUUGUGGAUUUAAUUAUGUUUAAUUUUACCUAAAACUAUUUAGAACUUAUCAAAAUGAUUACUAAUUUGUAAGUUACAUUAAACAUAUAUACAAUUUAGUAUUGAAAAUUUACAAAUGAAGAAAGUUUAAAUAUGAUAGAUCUUAUAUAAAGCUAUUUAGAACUUAUCCAAAAUAUUUCUAAUUCAUAUAGGUAACAUAUCUCCAAUAGUUAGAUAGUAUUAUCCAAUCUUUGAUAAAAAAAAACAAAAAAUAGUAUACCCAAUCUGUCAUUUAUAUAAGAUUACUAUCUUUUAUUUUUUGGUCAAAUAUUGGAUAUACUAUCUAACUAUUGGAGACAAUUUAUAUAUAAAUAAUACACUUUUACCAAUGAAACAAUCACUUUCUAUACAUAAGAAAAAUCCUCAUAGACAUGGAGAACACAAAAAUGUUCGUAUUGGUAGCGAUGAUGUUAAUGAUUGGAAACCAUCUUACUGUAUCGGUGUACGCGGAUAAUCCAAUAACGCGUGCAUUAUGCUAUUUUAAAUGUAAUGAACUAUGUCUUAUUGAUCCACGUUAUCUUCUAAACUCAGAAAAAUGUGCCAAAAAAUGUGUUAAGGAAUGUCAUAUGCCACCUGGUUAUGUAAUACAAGACACAAUCAACCAAAUUGAUUAUUUCUGCCAAGUGGGUUGUGUUAAUCAUCGUUGUGCUCUCACUGAAAAUCAAAAUAUGGAGAAAGCUGCGGGCUGUGUGAAUUCAUGUUCAGAAAUUUGUAAUAAAAAGAACUAAUAGCGAUAGAAUAUGUUAUAUUAUAACAAUUUAAUGUUUAAUGAAGAUAGUAUGAAUCAAAUCAAUUUAAUAUACAAUUCAAAGCCCGUUUUUUAAAUCGCA